rnacentral:rRNA from 1 species
AAAUUGAAGAGUUUGAUCAUGGCUCAGAUUGAACGCUGGCGGCAGGCCUAACACAUGCAAGUCGAACGGUAACAGGAAGCAGCUUGCUGCUUUGCUGACGAGUGGCGGACGGGUGAGUAAUGUCUGGGAAACUGCCUGAUGGAGGGGGAUAACUACUGGAAACGGUAGCUAAUACCGCAUAAUGUCGCAAGACCAAAGAGGGGGACCUUCGGGCCUCUUGCCAUCGGAUGUGCCCAGAUGGGAUUAGCUGGUAGGUGGGGUAAAGGCUCACCUAGGCGACGAUCCCUAGCUGGUCUGAGAGGAUGACCAGCCACACUGGAACUGAGACACGGUCCAGACUCCUACGGGAGGCAGCAGUGGGGAAUAUUGCACAAUGGGCGCAAGCCUGAUGCAGCCAUGCCGCGUGUAUGAAGAAGGCCUUCGGGUUGUAAAGUACUUUCAGCGGGGAGGAAGGGAGUAAAGUUAAUACCUUUGCUCAUUGACGUUACCCGCAGAAGAAGCACCGGCUAACUCCGUGCCAGCAGCCGCGGUAAUACGGAGGGUGCAAGCGUUAAUCGGAAUUACUGGGCGUAAAGCGCACGCAGGCGGUUUGUUAAGUCAGAUGUGAAAUCCCCGGGCUCAACCUGGGAACUGCAUCUGAUACUGGCAAGCUUGAGUCUCGUAGAGGGGGGUAGAAUUCCAGGUGUAGCGGUGAAAUGCGUAGAGAUCUGGAGGAAUACCGGUGGCGAAGGCGGCCCCCUGGACGAAGACUGACGCUCAGGUGCGAAAGCGUGGGGAGCAAACAGGAUUAGAUACCCUGGUAGUCCACGCCGUAAACGAUGUCGACUUGGAGGUUGUGCCCUUGAGGCGUGGCUUCCGGAGCUAACGCGUUAAGUCGACCGCCUGGGGAGUACGGCCGCAAGGUUAAAACUCAAAUGAAUUGACGGGGGCCCGCACAAGCGGUGGAGCAUGUGGUUUAAUUCGAUGCAACGCGAAGAACCUUACCUGGUCUUGACAUCCACGGAAGUUUUCAGAGAUGAGAAUGUGCCUUCGGGAACCGUGAGACAGGUGCUGCAUGGCUGUCGUCAGCUCGUGUUGUGAAAUGUUGGGUUAAGUCCCGCAACGAGCGCAACCCUUAUCCUUUGUUGCCAGCGGUCCGGCCGGGAACUCAAAGGAGACUGCCAGUGAUAAACUGGAGGAAGGUGGGGAUGACGUCAAGUCAUCAUGGCCCUUACGACCAGGGCUACACACGUGCUACAAUGGCGCAUACAAAGAGAAGCGACCUCGCGAGAGCAAGCGGACCUCAUAAAGUGCGUCGUAGUCCGGAUUGGAGUCUGCAACUCGACUCCAUGAAGUCGGAAUCGCUAGUAAUCGUGGAUCAGAAUGCCACGGUGAAUACGUUCCCGGGCCUUGUACACACCGCCCGUCACACCAUGGGAGUGGGUUGCAAAAGAAGUAGGUAGCUUAACCUUCGGGAGGGCGCUUACCACUUUGUGAUUCAUGACUGGGGUGAAGUCGUAACAAGGUAACCGUAGGGGAACCUGCGGUUGGAUCACCUCCUUACCUUAAAGAAGC